rnacentral:rRNA from 1 species
CCUACGGGAGGCAGCAGUGGGGAAUAUUGGGCAAUGGGCGCAAGCCUGACCCAGCAACGCCGCGUGAAGGAAGAAGGCUUUCGGGUUGUAAACUUCUUUUCUGAGGGACGAAGAAAGUGACGGUACCUCAGGAAUAAGCCACGGCUAACUAAGUGCCAGCAGCCGCGGUAAUACGUAGGUGGCAAGCGUUAUCCGGAUUUAUUGGGUGUAAAGGGCGUGUAGGCGGGAAAGCAAGUCAGAUGUGAAAACUCAGGGCUCAACCCUGAGCCUGCAUUUGAAACUGUUUUUCUUGAGUGCUGGAGAGGCAAUUGGAAUUCCGUGUGUAGCGGUGCAAUGCGUAGAUAUACGGAGGAACACCAGUGGCGAAGGCGGAUUGCUGGAGAGUAACUGACGCUGAGGCGCGAAAGCGUGGGGAGCAAACAGGAUUAGAUACCCCUGUAGUC